UUAAAACGUUGUCACCUGUAAUAACACCAGUAGGUACAAUAUCGAGAAUUCCCAUUUUGCUAAUUUGUGUGUGUGUUCUAUACGACCUUUGGAAGUAUGAUACUGCAACAGUAGCGCGCAACCCUCUAUUAUAUACCAUGGAGCCGGAGUUGGCCUCGGAAAAACUUCUCACCUGAUGUGCAUAUCGAUACCUAUCCGGUCCGUGGUUACCACCAAUCACCGUCCCCUGUUUUAGGGGUUGACGUCAAAAGAAGUUUUUGAUUUCU